rnacentral:rRNA from 2 species
GGUUAAGCGACUAAGCGUACACGGUGGAUGCCCUGGCAGUCAGAGGCGAUGAAGGACGUGCUAAUCUGCGAUAAGCGUCGGUAAGGUGAUAUGAACCGUUAUAACCGGCGAUUUCCGAAUGGGGAAACCCAGUGUGUUUCGACACACUAUCAUUAACUGAAUCCAUAGGUUAAUGAGGCGAACCGGGGGAACUGAAACAUCUAAGUACCCCGAGGAAAAGAAAUCAACCGAGAUUCCCCCAGUAGCGGCGAGCGAACGGGGAGCAGCCCAGAGCCUGAAUCAGUGUGUGUGUUAGUGGAAGCGUCUGGAAAGGCGCGCGAUACAGGGUGACAGCCCCGUACACAAAAAUGCACAUGCUGUGAGCUCGAUGAGUAGGGCGGGACACGUGGUAUCCUGUCUGAAUAUGGGGGGACCAUCCUCCAAGGCUAAAUACUCCUGACUGACCGAUAGUGAACCAGUACCGUGAGGGAAAGGCGAAAAGAACCCCGGCGAGGGGAGUGAAAAAGAACCUGAAACCGUGUACGUACAAGCAGUGGGAGCACGCUUAGGCGUGUGACUGCGUACCUUUUGUAUAAUGGGUCAGCGACUUAUAUUCUGUAGCAAGGUUAACCGAAUAGGGGAGCCGAAGGGAAACCGAGUCUUAACUGGGCGUUAAGUUGCAGGGUAUAGACCCGAAACCCGGUGAUCUAGCCAUGGGCAGGUUGAAGGUUGGGUAACACUAACUGGAGGACCGAACCGACUAAUGUUGAAAAAUUAGCGGAUGACUUGUGGCUGGGGGUGAAAGGCCAAUCAAACCGGGAGAUAGCUGGUUCUCCCCGAAAGCUAUUUAGGUAGCGCCUCGUGAAUUCAUCUCCGGGGGUAGAGCACUGUUUCGGCAAGGGGGUCAUCCCGACUUACCAACCCGAUGCAAACUGCGAAUACCGGAGAAUGUUAUCACGGGAGACACACGGCGGGUGCUAACGUCCGUCGUGAAGAGGGAAACAACCCAGACCGCCAGCUAAGGUCCCAAAGUCAUGGUUAAGUGGGAAACGAUGUGGGAAGGCCCAGACAGCCAGGAUGUUGGCUUAGAAGCAGCCAUCAUUUAAAGAAAGCGUAAUAGCUCACUGGUCGAGUCGGCCUGCGCGGAAGAUGUAACGGGGCUAAACCAUGCACCGAAGCUGCGGCAGCGACGCUUAUGCGUUGUUGGGUAGGGGAGCGUUCUGUAAGCCUGUGAAGGUGUACUGUGAGGUAUGCUGGAGGUAUCAGAAGUGCGAAUGCUGACAUAAGUAACGAUAAAGCGGGUGAAAAGCCCGCUCGCCGGAAGACCAAGGGUUCCUGUCCAACGUUAAUCGGGGCAGGGUGAGUCGACCCCUAAGGCGAGGCCGAAAGGCGUAGUCGAUGGGAAACAGGUUAAUAUUCCUGUACUUGGUGUUACUGCGAAGGGGGGACGGAGAAGGCUAUGUUGGCCGGGCGACGGUUGUCCCGGUUUAAGCGUGUAGGCUGGUUUUCCAGGCAAAUCCGGAAAAUCAAGGCUGAGGCGUGAUGACGAGGCACUACGGUGCUGAAGCAACAAAUGCCCUGCUUCCAGGAAAAGCCUCUAAGCAUCAGGUAACAUCAAAUCGUACCCCAAACCGACACAGGUGGUCAGGUAGAGAAUACCAAGGCGCUUGAGAGAACUCGGGUGAAGGAACUAGGCAAAAUGGUGCCGUAACUUCGGGAGAAGGCACGCUGAUAUGUAGGUGAAGCGACUUGCUCGUGGAGCUGAAAUCAGUCGAAGAUACCAGCUGGCUGCAACUGUUUAUUAAAAACACAGCACUGUGCAAACACGAAAGUGGACGUAUACGGUGUGACGCCUGCCCGGUGCCGGAAGGUUAAUUGAUGGGGUCAGCGCAAGCGAAGCUCUUGAUCGAAGCCCCGGUAAACGGCGGCCGUAACUAUAACGGUCCUAAGGUAGCGAAAUUCCUUGUCGGGUAAGUUCCGACCUGCACGAAUGGCGUAAUGAUGGCCAGGCUGUCUCCACCCGAGACUCAGUGAAAUUGAACUCGCUGUGAAGAUGCAGUGUACCCGCGGCAAGACGGAAAGACCCCGUGAACCUUUACUAUAGCUUGACACUGAACAUUGAGCCUUGAUGUGUAGGAUAGGUGGGAGGCUUUGAAGUGUGGACGCCAGUCUGCAUGGAGCCGACCUUGAAAUACCACCCUUUAAUGUUUGAUGUUCUAACGUGGACCCGUAAUCCGGGUUGCGGACAGUGUCUGGUGGGUAGUUUGACUGGGGCGGUCUCCUCCUAAAGAGUAACGGAGGAGCACGAAGGUUGGCUAAUCCUGGUCGGACAUCAGGAGGUUAGUGCAAUGGCAUAAGCCAGCUUGACUGCGAGCGUGACGGCGCGAGCAGGUGCGAAAGCAGGUCAUAGUGAUCCGGUGGUUCUGAAUGGAAGGGCCAUCGCUCAACGGAUAAAAGGUACUCCGGGGAUAACAGGCUGAUACCGCCCAAGAGUUCAUAUCGACGGCGGUGUUUGGCACCUCGAUGUCGGCUCAUCACAUCCUGGGGCUGAAGUAGGUCCCAAGGGUAUGGCUGUUCGCCAUUUAAAGUGGUACGCGAGCUGGGUUUAGAACGUCGUGAGACAGUUCGGUCCCUAUCUGCCGUGGGCGCUGGAGAACUGAGGGGGGCUGCUCCUAGUACGAGAGGACCGGAGUGGACGCAUCACUGGUGUUCGGGUUGUCAUGCCAAUGGCACUGCCCGGUAGCUAAAUGCGGAAGAGAUAAGUGCUGAAAGCAUCUAAGCACGAAACUUGCCCCGAGAUGAGUUCUCCCUGACUCCUUGAGAGUCCUGAAGGAACGUUGAAGACGACGACGUUGAUAGGCCGGGUGUGUAAGCGCAGCGAUGCGUUGAGCUAACCGGUACUAAUGAACCGUGAGGCUUAACCUUAC